GUUUUACAAAAAAAUGAAACAGAAGAAAGAAACAGUAAAUUACUUUGCGGCGCUUAUGUGACAAAAAGAAGACUGGAUUCUACCAAAACGUGGCGCUCCAUCAUGGUGUACCGACAGCGUUAGUACCGAGAUGGAGUUAUCCUGCUUCAGAUACACAAACAUGAUCCGUUUGCGCUCCAGUCCAGUCGAUUAUCAUACACACACGGCUAUCUACAUGGCGGUCCUAUUUUACCGCUACCUUCAUCGAAACGUCCCCGUGCUAAGCAUUGGAUACAUCUAGUAAAAGUAAAGUUUGUUUUAUUUAACGACGCCACUAGAGCACAUUGAUUUUUA